CGGGGGAAAAAGCCGGUAAAAGGGCACUUUCAGAAGCUGAUUUUGCGGUAGUUUUUGUUUCGCCAUUGUGUGGAGAUUUAACAGCAGUUAAGGAAUCAGAGGACGGAAUAGGCGUAAGGUCNNNNNNNNNNNGCGCUUGGCGGUGGUCCUAACGGCACGUUUCGGCCGGGGACCUGGUUGCUUCUUAGGAGCCAUUUCUGUGUACGUUUUUUUAUCUUUAUUUGUUUUUAC
rnacentral:misc_RNA from 1 species